ensembl:lncRNA
CCUCCUGGGAAAUGUAGUCCAUCCCCUCAAGCCCGCGCCCUUGCUGGGAAGCGGAAUGUGUGGAAAUUCCCUUCGGAAUAGCCGUUCUUUGAUGUUUGGUCUUAGUGUGCUUUCAGACUUAAUCGACAGGAGAGGCCAUUUUGUCCGUGUAACAGAAACUAGCCAACAAGCUCUAAGCGAUGGCCAGGCCUUGGAAAGGCUGGUUACUUGGCUGAAUUGCCUUGUUGAGGUGUAGGGUUUGACAGGCUUCAGUUACCUCAGACACAGGGGAGGUUAGCAAGGCUUGGAAAGAAGGAUGUACCACUGGUGGUGGACACAAAGAUUGCAGGAUUUAUGGGCACAAGGACAUUUGGCAGAACCCCCAAGGAAAGGAACAAACAGAUAAAGCCAAUGCAGAAACUGUGCUGAAUCAGGUCUGGUGGGGUAAAAGGUAAUUCCAGUAAGGCGACUCACGGCCACCAAUUUAAGAAACCACUGACUGAAAAGAAAGACUGAGCAUGCAGACUAAUUAGCAUGAGAAGCAAGAGGACCAUUAACUGACAGCAAACAGAAUACUAAUUAUUAUGAAAACUAGAUAACUUGUAGUCAAUGAAUAUUAAUUUCUUUGUUUACUAAUAUAUAUAAAUAGGGGGAAAUUUUUGUCUUCUUGGUGGUGAGGGUGGUUUAUAAAAAAGAGGGAGAGAGACUUUCUGCACAGACAGAUAGUGACAGGAUAAGGGGGGCAGUUUUAAACUAAAAAAGGGAAGAGUAGAUAUUUGGAAUAAAUUCUUUGCUGUGAAGGCAGUGAGGCCUUUAUACAGAUUGCCCAAAGAAGCUGGGAACACCCUAUCCCUGGAAAUGUUCAAGGCCAGGUUUGGACAGGGCUCAGAGCAGCCUGGUCCAGUGGAAGCUGUCCCUGCUCAUGGCAGGGAGGUUGGAACUAGAUGGGUUGGAAAAUAUAAUAGUUCAGGUUAUUUCUAAUGCAAAUGAUUCUGAGAUUAAUCUUCGAUCAGAGUAUCAGUAGGGUGCUGCUCAUCAGGAGCAGAAGUUUCCAUGAACUCAGAUAUGUGGAGACCCAGAGGAGCACAGCUGAAGCAGGAAGGAGGUGUUAUUCCUGACACUAGCAUCAGACUCUGGAGUGUUUUUUGGCAAAUAACUGGCUCUGUUCAUUGUCAGGAGAAACUAAAUGCAGGCCUUAAUUAUGCAGUGACUGAAUCCACAUGAAGGAUUUUGGCUGUUUAUUUAUUGCCUGUGUGACACACUGGUUAUUAACUCAGAGGCCAUGAGGAGGUGGUUACAGGCCAGUGAUUUUGCCUGUUUUCCCCGUAUUUGUUGGCAGGAGCAGCAAGUGCCAGUGGCCAGGAGGAGCAGCCAACAGAGAGAGGUGACCCUGAAAAGGUGUGGAGUCCUCUGGGUGACCUGGCCCUGGCUGUUUAGGGGGCUGCUCCAAGGCCUCAUGUGUUGAUUGGUGUAGCACGUAGCCAGGCAAAUAUUCUUACGUAACGCUAGGCCUGCUGUUUUUGCCAUUUAUGCCUUUUUCUCAUGACCAUCUGACUGUGCUUUUGUUAACAAAGCUUACACCUUUAAAAGGGACACAGUAAUGUGCCAAAGGUUGAACCAUGUGUCUGCAACAUCAGCUUCAUUACUCAAGCUACGCAACAGGUACACCAAGAUGCCUUCAUGCAUGCUUUUUGUUAAUUAUUGUGGAAAACACCACUGUAAAAGUGGCUUGUGAGGACAGACUUUGCACAGCCCUGACUCAAUGUGUGCAACCCUAAUACAGUGUUUACCAGCCUCCUCUCACCAGAAAUGGUUCUCCAGAGUCAUGAGGUGCUUCUGAAGGUAUUGUUGUUUAUCUGUGGCCUGACUCCCCAGCGCUGCUUGCUGUCUACAUCUCCCAAGUGUUGUAGUGUCUGCCAGACUUCUGUUGGCAGGAUUAACCUCUCCAGCUGUGCCACUACUGGGUUAUCUCCCUUUGAUACCCUCAGAGUUUCCCAAACUCACCAGCUGCAACACUUUGUGACUCCAUCUUU